rnacentral:rRNA from 1 species
AUACGUAGGUGGCAAGCGUUGUCCGGAAUUAUUGGGCGUAAAGCGCGCGCAGGCGGUCCUUUAAGUCUGAUGUGAAAGCCCACGGCUCAACCGUGGAGGGUCAUUGGAAACUGGGGGACUUGAGUGCAGAAGAGGAAAGUGGAAUUCCAAGGGUAGCGGGUAACUGUGUAGAGAUUUGGAGGAACACCAGUGGCGAAGGCGACGUUCUGGUCUGUAACUGACGCUGAGGCGCGAAAGCGUGGGGAGCAAACAGGAUUAGAUACCCUGGUAUUCCACGCCGUAAACGAUGAGUGCUAAGUGUUAGGGGGUUUCCGCCCCUUAGUGCUGCAGCUAACGCAUUAAGCACUCCGCCUGGGGAGUACGGUCGCAAGACUGAAACUCAAAGGAAUUGACAGGG